CCCAGCUUCUGGAAGAUGUGAUGGACACGUGCAUGUGAAUGCUGUCUACAAACUCAGGGAGCUGGUACAAUUCAUAGGAAGAAUAGUUUCUGAAGACAUUCUGAGGGUCUUGGAAGAAGAUGGAGUGAGGACAAUCGUCUCUUCCCUAUGUCCCCAUGGAUCUGAAAAAAAAAAUGUGGCAUUGUUGAGCUCAACUUGAGAGAAAAUCACCCAAGAACUGCUCAUGAGGUUCCUGUAGCAGCUUGCCACUUCUGCGGCCCACCUCAGUCCAGUUGGUGAGUGUGGAGCUUUCUUCAGGAUUACACUAUGGCUUCUAGGAUUCUGCUUGCUGAAAGGACUGGUCUGUAGCUGCUAAGUUGUGUUUGGUGUUUGCUAUGGGGCUGAAUUGCUACCCAAAAAGAUUGAACUCACCCCCAAAGAAAUAAUUACUGAACAGGUGCACUUCCCUCAUAUCCUAAUAACUUUCCUCUUCCACUACCUCUGCUGGCUGAUGGGCUAUAGGAGAAAUUGAACCCUUACUAAAAGUUGCAAAAAAAUGUAUGCCUACAUUCAUGUUUUACUUUCUCACUGUUCCUAUAGCUUUAAUAAUCUUGGCUCUCCACCUACCCCAGAGUCCCAAGUUUUCGUCUCUCUUUACUUUCCUGUUCUCUGGUUUUGCUUCAUGACCCUCCAUUCCUUCCCAGUGAUUCAUAUCUUUCUGCACAAUAUUUUGAUUUUAUUCCAUUCACCCCUUACAGUGUUACUGGAUUUUAAAUAAUGAUUUGUCUGGGGUAUAAAUGGUAUAUCUAUAUCUAAAUAUCUAUAUCUAUAUUUAUAUCUAAUCUCCAUCAGUUGUGAUUGCAUCCUCAAUUUGCAUUGCUCUCUCAGCCUGAACAUAGAGAUUGACCCUAUUGUGUCUAAAGGAUUCUAUUCUUCUAUUCCAUGGACCCU